GUGGGGAAUAUUGGACAAUGGGCGCAAGCCUGAUCCAGCCAUGCCGCGUGAGUGAUGAAGGCCUUAGGGUUGUAAAGCUCUUUUGUCCGGGAAGAUAAUGACUGUACCGGAAGAAUAAGCCCCGGCUAACUUCGUGCCAGCAGCCGCGGUAAUACGAAGGGGGCUAGCGUUGUUCGGAAUCACUGGGCGUAAAGCGCACGUAGGCGGACCAUUAAGUCAGGGGGGAAAGCCUGGAGCUCAACUCCAGAACUGCCUUUGAUACUGAUGGUCUUGAGUAUGGAAGAGGUUGGUGGAACUGCGAGUGUAGAGGUGAAAUUCGUAGAUAUUCGCAAGAACACCGGUGGCGAAGGCGGCCAACUGGUCCAUUACUGACGCUGAGGUGCGAAAGCGUGGGGAGCAAACAGGAUUAGAAACCCUGGUAGUCC
rnacentral:rRNA from 1 species